rnacentral:rRNA from 1 species
UCAGGACGAACGCUGGCGGCGUGCUUCAUACAUGCAAGUCGAACGAGAAUCUGGCUUCGGUCAGAGGAAAGUGGCGGACGGGUGAGUAAUGUGUAGAGAAUCUGCCCUUUAGUGGGGGACAACAGUUGGAAACGACUGCUAAUACCCCAUAUGCGCGUAGCUGAGAUGCUAUUCGUGAAAACUCCGGUGCUAAAGGAUGAGUCUGCAUCUGAUUAGCUAGUUGGCGGUGUAAUGGACCACCAAGGCGACGAUCAGUAGCUGGUUUGAGAGGAUGAUCAGCCACAAUGGGACUGAGACACGGCCCAUACUCCUACGGGAGGCAGCAGUAGGGAAUUUUGCGCAAUGGGGGAAACCCUGACGCAGCAACGCCGCGUGAUUGAAUAAGCCCUUCGGGGUGUAAAGAUCUGUCAGUAGGGACGAAACUUGACGGUACCUACAGAGGAAGCAUCGGCUAACUCCGUGCCAGCCGCGGC